GCGACAGUAGCUCAGUGGCAGAGCAGCGGCCUCCAAACCCGCGUGUCGAUGGUUCGAUUCCUUCCUGUCGUG
rnacentral:tRNA from 2 species